GGCCCCUGACAAGUCUGGGGACAAGAUCCCACUCCUCUGCAUGCCGUUCGAGAAGGAGGACUUCAUGGGAUUGGACACAGACAGCAGGGCCCUGUGAUCUACAUGCCCGCUCUCCCCAUCUGCUCCUUGGAGAUGAGGUGUCAGGUUUAGGAGCCUGGGCACUCUUGGGGGCACAGCUGCCAGCACCGUGCUACACCGAGGCUGGCUCCGUUCACCUCACAUGUCACCUCCUGCUGAUCCCCGAGGCAUCAGUCAAGUACGUUUUGGUUACUGAGACCCUCGAAUUCCCAUAUGAAUUGUAGCAGCAGCUAGUUAGUUACUGCAGAGGAGCCCACUGGGAUUGUGAUCGAGACCACGUUGAAUAUAUGGAUCGCUCUGUGGAGCACUGACAUUCCAAGAGCGCUGUCAUCUGAUCCAGGAAUGUGCGUGGUGUGUCUGUCCAGGUGCCCUCACCUCCAGUGGCAUCCAUCCAGACACCAGCACUGACACUGGCCGUGCUCAGAACUGCUUCAUCCCUGAAGAUACAACUGACAAAUAGAAGGGGGCCAUGCCCUGUUACAGCAGGUGCUCUCACUUUGUGGGUCCUUAUGUAACUAUGCAUUGUUAUUCAGGAUCGCCCAUUCUACAUUGUGUGACGCUGCUGCGGUGUCUCCUAGUUAUUUGUUUCUGAUCUGAGAAGCAGGAGCAAGGAACUCAGGGAGAGAUCCAGGAAGACAUCUGACUCUGUUAAGAGACAACAGUCACAGUGACACGGGGAGCGAAGACACUUGCAGCAAAGCAAAAUGACUUCACAACGAUUGCAUCAGAGCUGCAGGUGUGAGAGAGCCUAAGCCUGUCUCAGAGUGCAGGGGACAAGUGGAAAGGAAUGUGUAAGAAUGCCGGUGACUCAGUUAGAAGCAUGCUUCAAAGUUGUCUGUGUACUUCCCAUCCAGAAGCAGAGCCUGGGAGCUUCCGAAUUUCUCCAGAAUGCGGUUUACAUUCACCUUGACAGAUACCCAGCUUUCCCUGCACCAUUCGUUGAAUAGACUAUUCUUUCAAUGGAGUGUUGUUGGCACCCUUGUUGAAAACUGACUGUAAAUGCUCGACGAGAUUUCACUGGAGGGAAUUGAUCUUACAGAAGAUGGACUUAACUCAGGCCUUUUCAGAAUGGACAAAUGAACCUGGAGAAAGACAGUCAAAUCUGUGCAGACAUUGAAGUUCACGUGAACGUGCUGUAUCCCUGAGUCAAAGAUUGGACAAGUAGGCAGCACUUCUUGAGGACAGAGGAGUGGUUUUUAAGGUUUUCCUAGAAUGAAUCCCAGGGAACCGGGAUGGCCAGUUGUCAAACUGUGACUUUGCUCUUUGGACGGUGUGCCCACCAAAGGAGAGGAAAACAAGUCUAAACUUACUUUCCAGUUGAAAAUGGAAUGAAGAGUUAACGUUGGAAGCCGGGAGAGAUUGUCCUGUGAUGAAGUGGUCUCCGAGCCACUUCCACUGGGAUGUCACGUCACUGUCUGGGCCCCUUGCUCAGCCUGUGCACAGGUGACAACACAGAUGUGCCGAGCAGUCCUCCCGGACAGGGCAGUGGGUUGGAAAUGACUUUGGGGAUUUGGUUUCAUUUCAUAGGUUUCUGAGGGCCUUGGCCUGGCACUUCGAGUGGGACCAUUCCCUGUCCCACAUACUCGUGCUCUGGGCCCGUGCAGACCUGAUGUGGCCUCAGCCUGAGGCUCAGGGCCCGUGGUGAAGUGGAGCAUUUUAGUCCAGGGUCUGUGGAGGCUCUGAAAAUUCUGGGUCGUGGGACAUUGUCCAGGAUGAUAAUAAUUCCUCCCCGAGUUUCAGAUUUCCUUGCCUGUGAGCCGGGGUAGUAAUAGUUUCUGAGAUGAUUGUAAUGAUUCAGUAAGGGGGGCAGAGUGUGCUGGCAGGUAACUGGUGCUUAAGGAGAAGAAGUCGCAGUCACUCUGUCAGCCUCUCACUGUGUGCUCUGUGCUUUGAGAAGAUGUGUGUUUGGUGAAAGUCCUGCCCAAAUACUAGGGUCUAGAUGAAACGUUGUUCCUUUACUUUCCCUUUUUUUGCUCCUUCCUUUCUCUGCGUCUCAUGUGUAGGGAGCAGAUUCCUCUGUUUCAGGGAAUACAGGCCUUUCUAGGAAAAGGACAGGAUGAACGUGGAUAGGUGGGGCCGGAGGGGGUCUGGAGCAUCUGCACAGCGCUGCUUCCCUGCAUUUCUGCAUCCGGUCCCAUCAGUGCACGAAGUCAGCCUUCCUCUUCCUUCCUGUGUCAUCAGGUCUAUGUUUUAUGGGAAAACCAUUUUUAAGUGUCUUUUUUCACUUACAUGUUUCGUUCAGAUGCUUGUUGCUUUUCUCCCAGUGCUUCAGCAUUCCUAGGAGAGAAUUCAGCAGUGCAGCAUCCUCUCCGAGCUCUAUGAGUUGAUCGGCUUUCACUGCAAGUCCGUCUUCUUCAAGUGGGUGGCCCCCGUGCAGCGCACGGCCCCCGGCAUCCCGGAGCCUGGCGGGAAGGCCUGCUACCGACUCCUUCUUCAGACGCUUCCUGGCUACAUUCUGUCACUGAUUCUGCAGGACUUCAACAAAGUGUAUGAAGGUUUUCCAUCAGACUGUUUGCUCAGCCCCUUCCUGAAUGAGGGAUUGAAUUUUCCACAGGAAAUCUUAUGGAAGAGAGUGACAAGGCACAUGGGUUUCCCAAAAAGCAAUAGUUGUUGUAAUAAACUCUCACAUUGGUGAACUUUUUGAAUACAAGCGAGUUGAAAAUUUUAUCACUAGGUCAUAUGCCACAAAUCUGCCUUAAGAAUAAAAAGAUUCAGAUUUUAUAGAAGAAGCAGUUUGAAUCAAGUAUAAAUUAUAAUUUGUACACUAGUUGGUGUUAGAACUUAUACUCACUCUUACCAUAAUUGCCUGUGGUAGGAAAUGGAUCAUUAUUUAUUUAUUUAAAAAAAAUCCUCAAGGUUCUACUUGCCCCAUUCUUGAUGCGGCAGUGCUGAGUUUAGUUAAGUUGGGACAUUUAGAAUUCUUGGCUAGGUUUUCAGGACAUUGAUUUCAGCCUCUUUAUCUUUUUUAGAAUCUGUUCUUUGUGUCAGUCUUUGGUCUUUUGACAAUGUGGAAAUACUGCACAGAUCUGUCUUUCCCUUUUUUCCUGUCUUUAUGGGUAAAGAUUUCUGUAAGACACACUACUAGGACAUUAAGGAUUUUGUGUGGGGUAAGUUUGGUCGGCUCAAAGGAUUUCAAUUAAUACGUAUUAAUACUUGCUAUUCAGCUAAUGAUAAGAAAAUUAUAAAAUAACUUAAGUGUACAUCAAUAAAUAUAGUACAAUAAGCCCAUCACCCAGAUUAAGGAAUUCACAAACAUUUCCAUAUUUCCUUUAUUCAGACCUUUGUUCUUUUACUUGUCCUUUGUUGAAGUAUUUGACAGCAAAUUCAAGAAAACAUGUCAUUUUACCCUAUGUACUCAAGUAGGCAUGUCUGAAAAAUGAGGGCCAUUUCUUUGAUCAGGUUUUUCCAUUUGACUUAUGUGCUCGUUAAGUACCAGCUGUAUCAGGCAUCUCAUUAGGCAUUAGGAAUCCUUGGGGCAAUGAGACAGUCCUGGCUCCCAAGGAAGUUAAGGGCUGAUGGAAGAAACCAACACAGGAGCUUAGGUGCCUCACCUAAGGUCCCUGCGGGAUGACAACAAUUGGAAAAAAUUUGUGCACAAUACAGUGGGAUUCACAGAAGGGACUGGUCAGACUAGUAGGGCAGGCCAUGAGAGAGGCGGUCAGCAGGGCUACAAGAGGAGGAAUCAUUUGAUCAGAAUCUGAAAUCCUUUCUGCCAACCUUCCUUCCAAGCCCCUAGGGCCCAUCACACACAACCCUGUGCUGUAACUGUUUUUGAUUCCUGUUACCACAUCUCCUUCAGGAAGGAUUUUAAGGUGGAAAAUAUUUAAAAUCAGUAAUUGUUGCCAGAAGGGACAUAGAACAAGGAACAUGGAAACAACACAAAUGUCCAUCAGCACAUGACUGGAUAAAGACAAGGUGAUACAUAUCUACAAUGGAAUAAUACUCAGCCAUAAAAGAUGCAAUUUGCAGCAACAUGGAUGGACCUGAAGACUGUCAUUCUAAGUGAAGUGGGGUGAAAAGAGAAAGUAAAAUGCCAUAUGACUUCAUUUAUGAGGAAUCUAAAAUUAAUAGCAAUAAUAAUAAGACCACAAAUGAACUAAUUGUUAUUUUGAUUUCUUGAAUAUGCUUAAGCACAUAUGACUGUCCUUUGUGAUUGGAUUACCACAUUCUGUUUAUUAUUCUUUUGUAGUUGGCUUUAUUCCUCUGGUAACUAUGUAAGUUUAAAAAUCUGAAACUCUAAUCUGUUCUUAGAAACAAUAAUUAGUACAUAUAUGUAACUAAAAAAAUGCAGUAUACUCUAUACAUGUAUUUACAUGCAAUGUGUAUGUGGAGUUGAACUGUAAUAAUUAUACCUAAUAAUACUGAAAAAGGAAAAAAAUAAAAUAAUAUAUAAAAAAAACUAAUCACCCCUCUUUAAAUAUUAAAACAUUCAGUUCUGAGAUUCUGUGAAAGACAGCAUGGAAGUAGGUUUUUAAGAUUUUCUCCUUGUUCCUCGGUGAGCAGCCUGGGCUGCACAGC